CGCCACCUUUUGUUUGACCUCAGAAACAAGGAAGGUAUUUCUCGGGAAGCUGCCGUCGGACGUCCUUCCUUCGGAUACGCUGCUCGGUCUUACGUCUUCCUGUUUUCCUCGGAAAGCGAUGUAUUCGAUGCGCAAGGCAUGCAGGUAACCCUUUUUGCUUCUACUUGUGGUACAACUUAAAAGGUUCCUGUGACUGGUUUUCUGCGGAAUGUGGUAGGUUUCAUCGCAGGUAAGUAUGUUUUUAUAAUUUGUGAUUAACUUUUAAUAAUAACGCAUUUUUAUUCUAUAAACGCAGGUACAAAGUAGGUUCGACUAGUAUCGAAAGAAUAUAACUCAAAAUAUGUCUCGCUCAUACAUCAUCACACUCUUCACUCCGUGCGCUUACAACAAAUAAAAUGUGGUAAUUAAUACAAAAUAUGUUUCUUGAGCCUGUAUCAAAAUACAAUGUAAAAUAAUAAAAUGUAUCGGGAAACAUAAUCACUUAUACUAUAAUGUUUUACAUGCAACUUGAAAUUAUAACUCACGUAUCACUAUUUUUCCGCGACAUCAUAAAUCGCUCACAAGAAAAUAAAAUAAGAUAAGUCAAGAUAAAAUAUAUUAAGAAUAUUAUGACGCUCGCUAUCGCGUUUUUUAACAACAUGUUUGCUUACUGCAAUAUUUCUAAUAUUGACUCGGCCUCAGGUACCGGCCCUUCGUUCAUUGUGUUAUUUUGAAUGGGUUGCGCCACAUUCGGCGCUGUCAAUGGCGCUCCUACACCUGUUUCAAUGUCUCUCACUAUCUUCUCAAUGUCGU